AAUCAACGCUGGCGGCGUGCCUAACACAUGCAAGUCGAGCGAGAAAGGGUAGCAAUACCUGAGUAAAGCGGCGCACGGGUGAGUAACACGUGGGUAAUCUGCCCUAGAGUGGGGAAUAACACCGGGAAACCGGUGCUAAUACCGCAUACGAUCACGAUGUCUCCGGAUGUUGUGAUGAAAGGAGCAAUUCGCUCUUGGAGGAGCCCGCGGCUGAUUAGCAGUUGGUAAGGUAAUGGCUUACCAAGGCAACGAUCAGUAUCCGGUCUGAGAGGACGGUCGGACACACUGGAACUGAGACACGGUCCAGACUCCUACGGAGGCAGCAGUGGGGAAUUUUCGCAAUGGGGGCAACCCUGACGAAGCAACGCCGCGUGGAUGAUGAAGUAUUUCGGUACGU
rnacentral:rRNA from 1 species